UAACUAACAAAGCAGAGUACUUGCAGGUAAUCGAUCUGCCAAAGUUGUCAUUAUGAAAUUGUCUAUUUCCACGUGGUCUUAAAAUAGGACUAAACACAAUCGAAUGAACUCUAAAAAAAAAAAAAGAUUAUCAGAUUUUGGUAAUAAACCGAGAGAGAGAGGCCUCAUGUUUGAUGAAAGCUAGUCUUUACCUACCCAACAAAUUGAUGAACCUUCCUUGUAACUGAAACAUUAAAAGAAAGCAAGGUAUCUAAUCUAGAAAAAAUAGAUUAAUGGAAAAGGUAAAUAACAGCAUAUAAUAAACCCUAUAAGCCUUCCAUUCUAAUUCAAGCAUUUGAAGGGGGCUAGAGCUAGAAACAGAGCUUACCCAGUUUGAAAGCCUAAGUAAUCCAAUCAUCAAAACUAAAAAGCAAAGAAAAGGCAAAAACAGAGACAACCUUAGACUCCAAUUUCUUAGAUUAUCUUAAUCUGGGUUUCGGAUUACCCAGGCAAAAGGAACAUCUGAUGACGAAAAGGUAAUUUAAUGUUGGAAAGGGGAUUGAUUGGUUGGUGGGUUUGGAUGGACCCACCAUUUUCGUAGACUUCACUUGCAAAAUUGCAAGCCCCAGAGGCGCAGAGGCAGAGAGAGAGAGGUGGGUAUAUAAAUGAGGAGGCUAUCGACUUGCUGCUUCACAGGUCGAGUCUCUAAAACCCAUCGCAAGCACAGCCUUUCACAGGGAUCUGGAGAAGCUAUGGAGAACCCAUCAGCGAGCAAUGCCAACAACUUUCACUCCGAG